UACCCAUGUCCUAAAUCAUAAUGUAUCGGUUAUGCAAGAAAAUUCGUUUGGAGUGUUUCCGGUUAUGAGUUAAAAGAGAACAACACGCCGCUUCGACAGGAACGUAUUCACCAAAACUAAAUAAAGAUGCUGUUCUUCCGGAACCAAAGACGUGGCAAUCAAGGCUAGACCCAGAUAGUAUGUCAACUGUAUGCAUAGUAGAUGCAUAGACUUGAAGAAGAUAGAAUGUAUUAUUCUAAGGGACAUUUAGACAGAGAUCGCCUCCAAAAAAAUAUAUUUACCGAAUGCACCAAAUGGACAUGCCAGAGAACAACCCAUCAGGCAACAUGAUGGUUACAGAAUAAAUGACUCUAUAAGCUGUUGCAGCCGCAGAGACUUGGACUAAACUUUGAUUACAUGUCAGAAUCUAAUGUGUAAUAAAAAUACUAGUUAA